rnacentral:lncRNA from 1 species
UCUCUCUCAUUAUAAUAUAAUCAAACCCUAUAUCUAAGAUAUAUUCCCAACACUUCUUCAUUGUCAUCUUUUUCAACAAAAAAAAAAGUACAAAUCCACAUGCAUAUUCAAUCCAUGUGAUCCCUUGUAUUUUGUUGAUUUUCAACCAAUUCAUCAACUUACACUUCUUGAAUGAUUUUUGCAUGGCUAGUGAUGCAACAUUUUCCUCCAACAUUACUUUCAUCUUCUUUUCUUUACUCUUAGCUUUUCACUUUGCUAUGGCAGUCCAAGAACACACUUUAACAAAAGAUGAGGCCAAGAAGAGGAGCGACGAGGUAGCUACUUCAACAAACGAAGAAAGUGUACAAAAUUUGAAUACCACAAAAGGUAACCGUAUUUCUGAUCUACAAAAGCAUCCUAAGGGAAGAAACUCUAGAGCAUCAAAGCCUCCAUUUCAAUGGAAAAACAAGAUCCUCAAUGCUAGUGAACGUGAAGUUCCUAGUGGUCCAAACCCCAUCUCAAACAGGUAAAUAAUUGUACUCAAUAUCAUUUGGUAGAAGUGAACACCUAAGAAAUGGAAUAAGAUUUUGGGUUGUGGUUUUAAUUAGGUUCUUAUGUUGUUUCCUCCUUAAUUUUGUAAUAUUUUAUUAUUAUUUUGUUGUUCAUUUUUUUGGGUCCAUUAAUAAAUGUAUGCAUAGAAUUGAUUUGGGAUUUGGGGGAGGGACCCAAAAACAACGAGUUUGAUAUAUGUGAGUGCAGUUCUAUUCAUAUUAUCAUCAUGAUCACGUACCAAUCAUUUAAACAUACAUGAGGAUAUGUGUAUGUGAGAUUCUAUUUGCAAGUUAGAAGAACAAUUUUAUUUGGAUUAGUUUGAUGAGAAUAUUUUUUUUUUAUGAAGCCCUUAUAAAUUUUUUGGAUAUCUAGUAUCUCACAUGAUUUUGAAAUCAUUGAAGAUGAUAUGUACAUAUAUUUAUGUAGCACUAUUAUUACGGUUUUAUAUGUGAAUAACUUGAUUAUCAUUAGUUAUAAGUUUUAUGUUGUGAAAAAAAUCAUAUAUAUGUUUGUGGAAUUUUAUACAUUAAGAACUUUUGAUGAAGUAAAGAUUAUUCUUGAAAUUAAGUUUACUAUGAAUAUGUACUAGCUAGUAUUGGGACACCAAUGUGAUAGUGAGGAUCAUGUGGUACUUUAAAAAGGCCAUGAAUUCAAGAUCAUUACAAAAAAAAAAAAAAAUCAUUGUACUAAAAAGUUGCAAUGAUGUUAAUUAUUAUAAAAAAGUUUACCAUGAUACAAGAAAGCUACAAUGAUGUUGAUUAGCUUACCAUUGUACUUGAAAAUUACAAUGAUGCAUGGAAUAAUCUAUUAAAUUUUCCUAAAUAAUACAUGUGAUUUUCAACCAUAUUGAUCGAUUGUGAUAGUCAUAACUAUUACAAAGUAAAUAAGAUGAUGAUCAUAUGAGAUAUGAAGAAAUUUGACUGGUCCAUUGACGAAAGAAUUAGUAAGAGAGAGAGAGAGAUUAACUAAUCAUUUGACGAAAUGAUUAGUCAGAGAGGGCUUUGAAAACCUCAGAAAGAAUGAGACUAGUGCCAAGAAUAAUUUUCUCAUAUGAGGGUAACCCAAAUAGGUUUAAAGGGUAAUAACAACUUAUAUAGAGAUCAUGUGGAUCAUGCUAAAGAUAAAUAAAUUUAAAGUCUCAAUCAUAUAUUUAGAGCAAGAUAUCACGUAGUGUGUGAAAAUGUUGAAUUAAAUUUCUUAAUGAGUUAUAUAUCCCAUAUGGAGUGGAGUACGUAGCUACAUGAGUACUCUUGAUAGACUCAUUUAUGUGAAUGUGAAGGUUUGGCUGCUUCCAAUGAAAUUUUGACAGCGUUUCUAAAGCGUUCACUAUACUGGAUAACGUGUAUGGUCGUGACACACGUGCUUUUGAACUACACCUUGAAAGAUUGAGGGUGUGUUGUCUGAGAUAUAGUUCAAGACUAAGAAUCACUCUAGUAUAAUCGGAAGCAUCAUCACUACGCAAUAGUUCAUGUCUAUAAACACUACUGUUUAUGUUCAAUCUUAUGUUGGAUCACCUUAUUGCUCGAUGAAAUAGUUUUAAUAAAAUCCAGUGGAAGAUUGUUGAUGAUUUUAUUAAAAUAACAAUAAAAUAAGAAAUGCAUUUUCAUUUAUUUAUGGGUUUUCUAAUAUUUGGAUUCCAACACCAAGCGUAUUGUUUUCAUGUUUUAAAUGCCUGUGUUUUAAUUAUACAAUUAUUUGGUAACCUUUUUCUUUGCAUUGAAAAUUAAUAAUGUCUGUUGGUGAUUUCCAAAAUAAUGGAAUCACUUUAGAACCAAAAGUUGUAACUCUUCAUGGGAACCAUUCAUAUACAUUGGAACAUUAUUAUUUAUUAUUAAUAAUGAACCAUGACAUUGAUUCAAGUAUAUAUGGUUAUAACCUUUGGCAAAAGGGUGCUUAAUGAAUCAUGGCAUUGAUUCAAGUUAAAUAGCUGUUUUCUCUCAUGUGAAGAGUCAUAUAAUGCACUAUAAAUGCUUGACAUUUGGGCAUUAGUUGAAGAUACAAAAACCACACAACUACACACAACUUGGACAGAAUUUUGUUACAUUAACAACAUAAUUCUUCAUCAUUCUAUUAUUCUAAAUCAUCCAUCAAUUCUCUAAUGCAUGAGUGAAUUGCUGGAACCAUAAAUCUGUAAAAUACUGUUAGGAGAUACGCUUGGUGUGGUUGUGCAAUACACGUCAAGGAACUCAUAGUAUCCUGAAGGGGAUUCGCCGGUCAUUUCUAUUGCAUCCAAUAUACAUUUAUUGGUGGAGGCGAAUCGAACCUAAAGGUUAGUGUGGCAACCCCAUACGCUUUGAGUUUUACAUGCAUGAUCAUUAAACAUUUCAGGUUUCAAGUGCAGCAGCCUCUUCCCAACAAACAAGAUAUAUAACAUUAAAAUGGCUUAAUGUACAUAUGAGGAAGGCUUUGACCAAGUCACAAAAGGAUUUUAUGUAUAGUUCACAUUUUGGCAAGAAAAUUAAGAUAUACUUUAACACCAAAAUGAAGACGUGAGGAAUAUACAAGAAGUCUUUUAUGAUUGCUUUAGGAAAAGAAAAUGAAAAAUUAGUAACGAGAAAUUAAGAAAAUCUGUUUUCUUAAUUUGAGGAGAGUAUUUCCGAGCAAUAUUGAUAGGAUUGAGGGUGUUGGUUUAUUGGGUUCUCUUUGUGCAAGCCUCCAAUCAACCCUAGCCAUCAUUAGAGAUUCAAAUCAUUCUUCUUCAUCUCAUAUACCUUCAUCUAUUCCAUAUUGAAAGCAUAAUAAUUAGAAUCUUAGAGUUUUAGAGUAAAUUGUUAUUUCUCUUUUGUAAACUCUAAUCUUAUCUAAUGAUUUAUGCAAUUAUGUUUUUAUCUCUUAUCUUCUCCAUUUUUAUUUGUGUUUAUAUUCAUUAUGAACUAACCACUUUUAUGGUUAUGGAAUGAUUAGUUAAUAAUUAUGUUGGAACAUUUCUUGAACACUUUAAAUUGUUGCUGCAUCUAUCGAACACUUGGAAUUAUUUCUGCAAAAAAUCAUACUUGAACACACAAAAAUAAUUUUGUUAGAUAAAAUAUUUUAAGAUGAGUCACGAACUAGGUCGCUCUCUUUGAUGUUCCGCGACUCUGUCUUAAUGGUGCAACAUUUCUUUCUUGCCUCAUAGUCCCAGGAUAAAAACAACCCUCCCAAACUUGAGUAUCAGUGCCUCCAAUCUCUAUUAUAUUCAACAUAGCACAUAAUUGCAAAUGAAGGCUUGUCGUCCCUUUUAUAGUACAAGUCAUUUCCUAUCCUUGAGUGUCCUUUUUGGUCUUUUCCCAUGUGAUGGUCUUUGCCUUAACCAUUAAGCAUAAGAAUAUACCUUACCCCCUUUGGUGUACUAUUUGAGACUCCUGUAUCUUCUUCUCCAAGCACAAGAUGUUCUCGGCCCACUUUAGUGCAUAUCCAGUAAAAAUCAAGUCUGAUACGCCGCAACAUUGUAGCUUCCUACAUAGCCAUGAUGUGUUCUUCAAUACUUUCUUCUAUGAGCUGACAACUUUAUCUCUUGGAAUCAACAUAUUCCUUCUUCAUUGUACUACAUUCUCUGGAGAUAGCUCAUGUAAACUUAGUCUUUAAGGCUUGCAAAUAAUGGACUCAAGGUCGUACACUUGUACGACACGUACUGAGAGAUCUUUAACACCAUAGCUUCAGACUCCUUUUCAACGCUAUAGCUUCUUACAUCAUUAGCAUGAUUCCCAUCGUUGUAGUUUUGAACAUCUUUUCAUGACAUGUCAUUCGAACCAACACUAGAAAGCAUAAAAGGUUCCUAAAACUCAAAUAAACAAUAAAUACUAUAAAAGACUAAUUAGACUAAAUAAAGGCUAAAUAUGCUUUGCAUGAACUCGAGGAUCACAUGCAAUGGAAGAUAAAUGUAAGAUAAUAACCGACAUAUUUGCCGGUUAUCAAAUGCAUACAAAUGACUGUAUUUGCCUUGCUUCUAAAACAAUCAACCACUUGAAUCAACGGUAAUUUGGUGGUAAUAUGGAUCUCAAGAUCGACAUUAUUAAGCUUUUGAUGCUUUAGACUGAAAUUUUCUAGUCAAAGUGUUAAAGAGUUUUGGUUUUAUCGAUAAGUUUUGAAUGUGCAUUGAUGUUAUUAUAAGAUUUCCUAAAUUGUCCAUAUCUUUCAAUGGAAGUUUCUUUCCUUGCACGAGAGGGAUGAGGUAAGGUAACCCUUUGUCCCUUUUAGUCUAUUGUAUUGUAGAAGAAAUUCUAAGCAAAUGCAUUUCUCAUCUUGUUUAGGUUGGGAGGAUUUCUAUGAUUGAUGGAGCUAUAAUUGCUUUGGUUCCUUCUCAUGUUAUGUAUGUAGGGUACUUGAUGAUUUUUUUUUCAAGGGAACCUCUUCUAAUCUACUAAGGGGUGUAUUGGAUUGAAAAUUUUAAAAGAUUUUGUUGGAUUGUAUUGAUUUUGUGAAAUUUUAAAAGACAUUUUUUAAAAGAUUUUUUACAAUCAAGAUUCUUGAUGCAAGAUUUUAAUGAAUUUAUUAAGAUUUUAAGGACUUUAUGGAUUUUCAAGAUUUUAAAGAGGUCAAUGAAUUUAAAGAUAUAUGGUAUAGUAUUAUUAGACAUAUACAUCAACUGCAAAAAAACUAUAAUAAAAACAAUUGAAAAAAAUUAAAAAUAAAGUACAGUAGUUAUAAAUCAAACAAUAUAAUAAUAAACGUAUAGACUUUCCUAAAAAAAAUAAGUAUAGACUUUAUUUUUAAAUAUCAUUGAAUCAAUGGACGUAUAAACUUUUAAAAAAAAAAAGAACGUAUAGACCGUUAGAGGUAUAGUGCAGCAAGUUGAUUGAUUAUAAUAAUUGGAUAUAUAAUUAGACGGAUAAAUUCUGUAAAGAAAAUUGCAAGUUACGGUUAAGAAGAUUGCAAGUUACAGUUAUGAAGAUUUCAAGGAUUAUGUUUGGCAAACAAAAGAAAUAAUAUGCACUUGUCAUGACAGAACAUAAAAGAUUCCUGUAGAGUAUCACAAAAUCUCAAGAGUUUGUGUGAGUUGUAGAUAGUCUAUUUUAACUAAAAAGUCUCACACAAUCUAUUCCACAAAUGAAUCCAUUAAAAUCUCUCUAAUUUUCAAUACCAAGAGACAUUUUAUAAGUUCCUAGAAAUCUCAAUUGAAUACCAACGGAUUUCGUUGUAUUUAAAAAAAAGUCUUGAUUGUCUUGAUUGAAUACCACCAAAAAAUUUUCUCAUAAAAAAGUCUUUUAAAAUCCUUUAAAAUCACAAUCCAAUACACCCCGUAAUAUUUAUACGAGGCAACAAAUUAUAACAAAUAUUCUUGGUUUUGCCAUUGAUUCCAUUCCUUUUACUUACCUAGGCAUACCUAUAUUCAGAGGUAAACCUAAGGUAAUUUAUAUUUAAUCAAUUGCAGAUAGGAUAAAGUGUAAUUUAGUUGCUUGGAAAUCUUCUCUCCAUACAUGGAAUAAUUCAAUAUGUCAAGAGUGUGAUUUAUAGUAUGAUGGUGUGUUUCCUCAAAAAAAAAAAAAGUAUGAUGGUGUGUAGCAUUCACAUAUAUGCCUGGCCUCUAUCCUUAAUCAAAGAGGUGGAUAAGUGCACUAGAAAUUUCAUUUGGUCAAUGUAAUAUUGAGAAAAGAAAGUUGGUAAUUGUUGCUUGCCAUAAAGUUAGUAGUCCUAUCGGAGAAGGUGGUCUUAGUUUAAGAUCAAUAAGAGACAUUAAUGAUGCGGCCAAUCUCAAGGUUUUUUAUAGUGAUUUUAGAUAAAUUGGUAAGUGCAUCAAAUCGUACAAAAUAAUAAAGUAAUGAGUUAAUCGUCUCCUCAGGGAUUGUUGUUCAACUCGUGAUGAAAGUAGAACAUAAUCCCGUGAUGAAUCAGUGGAAGUUUAUUAAUCCCCCACAAUUAAACCAUUUACAAUUGUGGGUUCCUUUAAGAUGAGUUAUAGCCAUAAAUUCAUAGUUAAAUUCAAUUAUAUUAGAAACUAAGCAAUUCACUACUGCCUUGUUUGAAUGGAAGUGAGGGUUGUCAAUCUUAAUAUUGCUCCAUCUAAGAUAUGAUAUAAAAACAGACAUAAACGAAUUAAAUCAGACUUUAAAUUAUAGACUAAAUAAAAACUUUAUUAAUAGAAUCCAACAAAUAAGAAAGGUUCAUCGAGGAACCCUAAUCGAAGAGGUUUUGUUGCUCAUGGCAACCGACAUCAUUACAAAACAAUUGAAAAACAUACCCUAGAGAGAACAAUAGAAGGAUGGAUCCUCUGCCUUGAAACUCGUGAUGAUUGACCUUUGCCUUUUACCGCUAGCCUUCUGAAUGAAUCAAAGAGUGUGCAAGGUAUAGUGAAUGAUUACUUAAGGAUUAAGAGAGUGAAAAUAGAUUUUUUUUCCCACAAAAAAAGGAUUGGAAAACAAGCAAACAACACUCCCUACCCUUGUCAAUGCGCAGGGGCGCAUGAGGCAGCCCCUCCUGCGCGAAUUAUGCAGUUUUCAACCCUUUUUCAAGCGUUCUUCUGUCUUGUGAUGCCUUGGAAAUUCAAAUGAUUUUUCUUCACUUUGUAUUGUCUACAUAUACCUUCUAAGAACCAUUGAACUUCAAUCUUCAUAUCCUCGAUUCUUCACAUGAUGUAUUGUUUUUCCGAUUUACAUGAUUUCUCACGAAAAAGACUCAAACCCUCACGCAAAACACAGUCUCCGCGCGCCUCUUUAUCGUGCAACCAUGCCCACCACUGGGUUCUUCCAUACACCGCCGUACACACAACAACGUAAUCCUCCUACUCAUGCCAACAACAUCAUGCGCGACAAUCUCCUUCGUGAUAUCUUCAUGUUCUCUCCCGACACCAUAUUGCAGGCAUCUUCACCAAAGGACUUCACAUUCUCUUUGAUGAUUUUCAGACCAAAAACAUUUGUGAACCUCUCGCUUCAACUGCAGGGUGUGAUAUAAUAGUUGACCAAACAAAUAAAAUAUUUGGUAAUAAUUAGUCAUAAUUAGUUUCGUGUAAUUAUUGUAUCAUAAUUCAAUAGUUGAUCAAACAUUACACAUUGAUGUAUAUAUUCUAUUCAUAUGAAAUAGAAAACUCAACCAUUCCAAUUAUCUUACAAAUGUGGGACUCCUAAUAUUGUCAUGUCCUUUAAGAGCCGACGUCUGUCGUCCACGAUGACUUUCACUCUACAUUAACUGAUGGGAAAUCUUUUCUUUUUGGUAGCUUCAAUCACCAAUCAGCAUGCGGUGGAGCAUCUUAAUCUAACAUAUAUGUAGUAUUUUCCAUGGUCCAACUCUUAAUGAAAACUGAACAUUGAUGUUGACAUUUUAGGUUUAGCUGAAAAACACUUGUAAAAGACAAAAAUGUCCAUCGACAGUUAACUGCCGCCAGUUAAAAAUUCAUCGGCAGUUAACUACCGAUGGGGUUAUAUUGGAAAAUUAUUGUUGUUUUUCAGCCAAAUACUAUAUGUGAACAACAUUCUUCAUGAAAACUUAAGCCCAUAAGAAGAGUCCAAUCCAUAAGAGUAGUUCAUUAAAUGUGAAAGCAUCAUGGUUUAAAUACCACGUCGAGCUUUUUUAUCUACUCGGCGUAAGACUCCUUACACAUAUGAAUUCAAAUAUCCCACGGAAGAUCUUUAUCCAAGAUAAGGCAAACAAAACAAAAAAAAAAAGAGGGCAAAGAAAAGAGAAGAAAUAUGGAGAUACACAACAAAAUCACAAAGUCAAAGGAAAUUGAAAUAUUUUAAACUUUUGACUCGAGCACUAUUUGUCAAUUUUAAACUCUCAUACGAUUUUAACUAAUUCAUUUAUUCAUCUAUAGCUAUAUCUUUUUUUUCUUUCCCCUCAAAUAUCUAUAGCUAUGUAGCAAUUGUAAAUUCUUAAUCUUUUAGUAAUUUGCUUAGCAAUCUGUACAUCUUUCUUAAUACGACACAACAUAUUGAUAAAGGUACCAGACAAUCAAAGGAGGGGUUCACCAAUCUCCACUUUCCUCUUUUCAUACUUAAUAAGGACUCUCUCUCUCUCUCUCUCUCUCUCUCUCUCUCUCUCUCUCUCUCUCAUUAUAAUAUAAUGAAACCCUAUAUCUAAGAUAUAUUCCCAAGAACACUUCUUCAUUGUCAUCUUUUUCAACAAAAAAAAAAAAGUACAAAUCCACAUGCAUAUUCAAUCCAUAUGAUCCCUUGUAUUUUGUUGAUUUCCAACCAAUUCAUCAACUUACACUUCUUGAAUGAUUUUUGCAUGGCUAGUGAUGCAACAUUUUCCUCCAACAUUACUUUCAUCUUCUUUUCUUUACUCUUAGCUUUUCACUUUGCUAUGGCAGUCCAAGAACACACUUUAACAAAAGAUGAUGCCAAGAAGAGGAGCAACGAGGUAGCUACUUCAACAAACGAAGAAAGUGUACAAAAUUUGAAUACCACAAAAGGUAACCGUAUUUCUGAUCUACAAAAGCAUCCUAAGGGAAGAAACUCUAGAGCAUCAAAGCCUCUAUUUCAAUGGAAAAACAAGAUCUUCAAUGCUAGUGAACAUGAAGUUCCUAGUGGUCCAAACCCCAUCUCAAACAGGUAAAUAAUUGUACUCAAUAUCAUUUGGUAGAAGUGAACACCUAAGAAAUGGAAUAAGAUUUUGGAUUGUGGUUUUAAUUAGGUUCUUUAUGUUGUUGCCUCCUUAAUUUUGUAAUAUUUUAUUAAUAUUUUGUUGUUCAUUUUUUUGGGUCCAUUAAUUAAUGUAUGCAUAGAAUUGAUUUGGGAUUUGGGGGACUCAAAAACAUGGAGUUUGAUAUAUGUGAGUGCAGUUCUAUUCAUAUUAUCAUCGUGAAACGUACCAAUCAUUUAAACAUGAGGAUUUGUGUAUAUGAAAUUCUAUUUCCAGUCAUCAUUACGUUCAUAUAUGUAUAUAUUUUUUGUUGUUGCUUUUUAGAAUAGUCAUCAUUUUUUCUUUUUUUUUU